UACGGGGGGAGCAAGCGUUGUUCGGAUUUACUGGGCGUAAAGGGCGCGUAGUCGGUCGUGACAAGUCACUUGUGAAAUCUCCGGGCUUAACUCGGAACGGUCAAGUGAUACUGUCGGACUAGAGUACAGAAGGGGCAACUGGAAUUCUCGGUGUAGCGGUGAAAUGCGUAGAUAUCGAGAGGAACACCUGCGGCGAAGGCGGGUUGCUGGGCUGAUACUGACGCUGAGGCGCGAAAGCCAGGGGAGCGAACGGG
rnacentral:rRNA from 1 species